GAUGAACGCUAGCGACAGGCUUAACACAUGCAAGUCGAGGGGCAGCGAGGGCGUAGCAAUACGCCUGUCGGCGACCGGCGCACUGGUGAGUAACACGUAUGCGACCUGCCCCCUACAGGGGUAUAACCCGUAGAAAUGCGGACUAAUCCCCCAUAGUCCCGCGGGCUGCAUGGCCCGCGGGGGAAAGGUCAGCCGGUAGGGGAUGGGCAUGCGGCGCAUUAGCUAGUUGGCGGGGCAACGGCCCACCAAGGCGACGAUGCGUAGGGGUUCUGAGAGGAAGGUCCCCCACACUGGUACUGAGACACGGGACCAGACUCCUACGGGAGGCAGCAGUGAGGAAUAUUGGUCAAUGGACGGGAGUCUGAACCAGCCAAGUAGCGUGCAGGAUGACGGCCCUAUGGGUUGUAAACUGCUUUUAUAAGGGAAUAAAGUGGGUCACGUGUGACUUUUUGCAUGUACCUUAUGAAUAAGGACCGGCUAAUUCCGUG
rnacentral:rRNA from 1 species